AGAGGGAACCCGGUGGGAAUCCGGGACUGUCCCGCAGCGGUAUGCAGGAACGACCGCCGUCAUCGGCACUGGUCGCAGCGAUGCGACUGGGAAGCGACGGCCAGUAGGUGCACCGAGGGGUGCGCGCCUGCGAGUCCGAAGACCU
rnacentral:ncRNA from 2 species